UAUAGAAAUCAGUGUACUGCUCUAUAAAUCCUUUUUGCCAUUAAUUUAUGGUAAUGAGAUUUCUUUUGUUUGUGAACUCAGUUUUGUAGAGAAAUUCAUUUUUCAGUUCUGUCACCUCAAAAGUCUCUAGAACAAGUCAGACAGACUGACAGAAUUACAUGGCAAUUUAAAUGUUUUCUUUUGAUGCAUUAUUUGUAUCAUAUUCUUGGUGUGUUUUUUCCUGAGACAAAUUUCUAACUGACCAAAUUAUCACAAAUAUUAUAAAUGCAUGACUUGAAAAGAAUCUAAUUUUUCUUCUUUCUGCUCUUCUGUCAGAGAGUUGUUGUUUUAAUGUGUUUACCUGAAAAUGAUGAUGUAUAUAUGCCACCAUGUAUAGCUUUUAAGGGAAUGUCCAAAACAAGUUUUCAGUUUAAAAUUACGUAUAUUGUGAACUAAGGCAUAAUAUCUAUUUUUCUAAUGCACCAUGAUGUCAGUGGGAUUUGCCAGUCAUUGCCAGAUGCAUGAAUAAAAUCUAAUGAAGGUUUUUUGUCUGUAAAACGCCUUUGAAUAAAAUCUCUACUGAC
rnacentral:lncRNA from 1 species